GUGUACGGCCACGCUGCCCUGAACGCGCCCGAUCUCGUCUGAUCUCGGAAGCUAAGCAGGGUCGGGCCCAGUUAGUACGUGGGUGGGAGACCACCUAGGAAGACCGGGUGCUGUAGGCG
rnacentral:rRNA from 1 species